CAGAGGGAGAGAUAGAGGAAGGAGGAGGAAGAGCAGACAGAAGAGGAGAGGGAGAGAGAGAGAUGGAGAGAGCAAGAGAGAAGAGGAGAGAUGGAGACAGAGUAGCAAACGACUCUCUCACACUCCUCAAGUGAAACACGCUCGGACUCUACAUACACUCCUGAGUACACACACACACACACACACAUACCCUGACUCUGACCUGGACCAGUGUGUGUGCCCCUGAGGAGAUGGUGUGUGUGGGGAGGCAGCGGGAGCUCACAGGGCCCCCUAGAGGAACGGAAGAGCAGUGCACCAUAACGGCAGGGGUGGAAACUCACCAGCCGGACAGCACACACACACACACACACAAAAUAGCCUCGCAGGCUGGGAGAGUUCUGUUUCAAAUUAAUCCUUAUUUUUGUGAUUAUUUUUCUAUGUGGAAACCCUUUAAGCUCUGCUGUAGCCCUCUACUGACUACUUAGUCUCAGUGAGUGUGUGUGUGUGUGUGUGUGUGAGAGAGAGACGCUAUGCAAUGGCUGCACACUGCACUGAGGGACUGUGAUGAGUGUGUGUGUGUGUGUGUGUGUGUGUGUGUGUGUGUGUGUGUGUGAGACGCUAUGCAAUGGCUGCACACUGCACUAAGGGACUGUGAUGUGUGUGUGUGUGUGUGCGUGUGUGUGAAUCUGUCACAGUGUGUGUGUAUCUGAUGCUAUGCAACAGCUGCACACUGCACUGAGGGACUGUGAUGUGUGUGUGUGUGUGUGUGUGUAAAUCUGUCACAGUGUGUGUGUAUAUCUGAUGCUAUGCAACGGCUGCACACUGCACUGAGGGACUGUUGUUCUGUGCUUUAGUGCUUAGUCAUACUUCUCCUCCAGUACAGGGGUUUGGGUGUGUGUGUGUGUGUGUGUCCCUACCUUCUCAUCAUGACCUGCUGUCCUCUGUGUCUGUAGUGGGAAUGCCUCACAGUAAUACAGAGGUGUGUGUGUGUGUGUGUGCGUGCGGACUGAAGCACCUUUAAGACACUUGUAUACUUGGCAAGUGGUUUUCCGAGAAGCAUGUGGGAAUUAACUCCGAACAGUACUGUUGAUGUCGGAAUGGAAAUAUUGAUACAGUACUGUUGAUGUCCAGUAAUGUUUACUGUCCACGUGUGCGUUCGAGUCUCUCUGGUUACGGCGGAGUCGCUCAGAGGCCAGACGCCAUGGAAACACACUUCUGUGGCACGUUAAAUCCAGUGUUGUACAUAAAGUUGUAAAUAUGUUCAAAUGUACAUUUCAGAAAAUAAAGUGGAAUCUAAAGAAAUCAA